ACAUCCGAGGAGGGGUAUGUUUGUUUGGUAACCAGGGCUGAAGAACACAGAACACACAGCCUUACUAGCUCUACUAGGUCUUCCCAGUUCUACACAGUCCAGAUAAUCAGCUUUCCCAGUCAACGACACCAGCCGUAACCUCCAGCUAUGGGUGUCUACAAUCUCCUCUGUCUACUGCUCCCAACACUUUUUUUUACAGCUUCACAUUUUGACCGGAGCGUGUGUUUCCAUAGCGACUGGUGAGUUACCUGUGUUUGUUGCCAGUAAAGGAGUUUGUGUCUAACUGUGUGUCUGCAGUGCUCCCCAGUGCACUGCUGUGUGCUAAAGCCAUUCAUCUUGUAUUUCUAAUACCAUUGAAUAAAUAUAGUUUAUUAAUCCCCCUGUCUUGCUCUUUCUCCCUGUACAGUAGUCUAUUACACCAUGUAAAAUAUGACAGUAUAUCAGUAGCUAUGCCCUACUACACUACAUAUUUAUAUUCAGUGCAGUGGUGUAUUCUGGUACUGGUACUCCCUGUAUUUAGCUCAAUUCUUGUGUAUUUUAUUUUACUCCUUGUGUAAGUUACUAUUUAAUUUUGUAUUACCUUUUAAACUCUGCAUAAUUGGGAAAGGUUUGUAGACAAGUAUUUCACUGUAAAGUCUACACCAGUUGUAUUCGGCGUAUGUGAUAAAUACAAUGUGAUUCGAUUUGGACAGGAGCUCUGAUUGUUCUGUUUAGAUUUGAGCUGCGCGGACUGUGCUGUGGCUCCCUCUAGGGUUCAUAGGCCUCCCUGCCUCUGUGUCUGUAUCGGAGAGCACCCGUCCCAGGAGUGUGGUGGUGGAGUUUCAGGUGCAGAGCUCCAGUCUUCUCCCCACAGUCAACAUCCUCUCUGUCAACCCAGAGUUAGCAGUGUUUGAGACGCCCAUCGUCAACCCUACUAAGGUUUCUGGUAUCUUCAAUGUCCAGGUCAGAACAGCCAAUUUCGUCCAAUAUCAGUUCUCAGGCAUAAUUAUUCUCAUCUGCUUUUUAUACUGAUGAAGACACUGAAAAAACAUUCUAACCUAACCCCAGCUUCAUGUCCACAGCCCGGCUCAACCAUAACCCUAGCCUCAACUACAACUACAACCCUAAGCCUCGACCACAACAAUAACCCUUGCCUUACUACAACUACAACCCCAAUCCUCAACCACAACCAUAAUUCUAGGGUUAUGUCCAGAUCACAGUUCAACCCUAACCUCUGUUUUGCACGUGAACAAAUGAGACAUUAGUAAAGAUAAAUGUUUUGCAUCUAAUAUUGUGUACAUGUGUAGAUAGUGUUGAGCGGUUCUCUGGACUAUGAGAAGGCCAGCAUGGUGAGUGUUCGUCUGGGCCUGGUCACCUCAUCAGGCCGUGCAGAGCAGACCUUCCAUAUCAGAGUGGUGGAUGAGAACACCACACCACAGUGUGAACCUCUGCUCCAGCUGCCUGGUAGCACAACCUCACCUCAACCACUACACAUACAUUAAACACUGUUUACAAGGCUAUUACAUGUUUAUUACGAUGUUAUUGCUAUGUUAUAAGGUCAGUGUAUUGUCGAGGGACGUUGUAAUGAGUAGAUGGUCUGAUGAGUGUUUGUGUACAGGAGUUGAGGUUCAUGUCCCAGAGAACCUUCCUGUUCCUGUGACUCUCUACACUGUCCUGGCCUCCGACGCAGACCGCAAUGAUACACUCUCUGUAAUAAACACACUACCUCCUCAUGACUUUCUGAUCUCAACUGUAUUACUGUACCAAGACAUUGCCUAAUCCUAUUCAGUGUAGGUUUAGACCGAGUGUUGAUACCCGUUCAGGUUUGUGGGUUUGUGUUGCAGUUCUCUAUCAGUCAGGUGUUGCCCAACUCCUCCGAAGGACAGUUCCACAUCAGUGGAGGCGGCAGCAUCAUCUCAAGCCACCCAUUUGAUUACCACACAGGACCAAGGGAGUUGAUGCUGUCUGUGGUUGAGAGACAAACAAGGGGCUAACUGUACUGGGACAGUCAGGAUCAAGGUGCUGAAAGUCUACAACCCUCCUCUGGAUCUGCUUCUUGUUUCCCAGAAUGUGUCCAUCUUUGAGAACCAAGGACCCGAGGAUAUUGUAGCUACUGUCAGAGCUAACCUCACCAUCCCUGAUGUACUCUACACUUUUGUGAAAGAUUAUCCCCAUUUCAAGAUUGGUAGAGAGGACGGUGUCAUCAGAACAGCCUAUAACCUGGACGCGGAGCGGGCCCUGGCCCAAAGUGUUCUAUUGGUCAGAGCCUACAAGCAUGGCAGUGGAACGCUCCGCUACCGCCACUGUCACGGUCAACGUUUUGGAUGUCAAUGAGUUCCCACCCUUCUGCUCCCCCUCAGUGUUUGUGCCUCACUAGAUGGCACCCUCAGUCUGUCUAAAGUCAGCAUACAAGACGACCUGAUGAGGUUUGAUGGGAAGGCACAAGAUCCAGUUUCAGGGCGCAGUUACCUGUUCAACUCUUCCACUGGUGAACGGCGUUGGUUGUAGGGGACAUCCAGUCUUACCAUCAACGACCUGCACUGAUUUAUGUGCUGUUUAUACCAUCUGGAGUUGAAGAGGAUUCAUAGUAUGUGGAUUCAUAGUAGGUGGAUUCAUAGUAGGUGGAUUCAUAGUAGGUGGAUUCAUAGUAGGUGGAUUCAUAGUAGGUGCGCAAUCAGGCAUUUUAGCAUAAUUGUGAUUUCAAUUAAAGGUCGAUUUGAAGUUUGUAAGAGUGAUAUUUUAAAAGGUACUAUUUAAUACAUAAUCAUGCUGACCUGCUGUGUUGUAGGCUACUCCUUAAUUACUAUUCCUGUGCGUGUACUCAUGUAGUUCAGCAUCAACAACAGUAUACCUUAUAUAUAUAUAUAUAUACACAGAAGUAUGUGGACACCCAUUCAAAUGAGUAGAUGUGGCUAUUUCAGCCACACCCGUUGCUGAUUGGUGUAUAAAAUCUAGCAAACAGCCAUGCAAUGUCCAUGGACAAAGAUUGGCAGUAGCAUGGCAUUACUGAAGAGCCAAGUGACUUUUAAUGUGGCACUGUCAUAGGAUGCCACCUUUCCAAACAAGUCAGUUCAUCAAAUGUUUCCCCUGCUAGAGCUGCUGUAAGUGCUGUUAUUGUAUAGUGGAAAUGUCUAGGAGCAACAACGGCUCAGCCGCAAAGUGGUAGACCACACAAGCUCACAGAACAGGACCGCUGAAUGCUGAAGAACGUAUAAAUAGUCAAUCCUCGGUUGCAACAUUCAUUACUGAGUUCCAAACGGCCUCUGGAAGCAACAUCAGCACAAUAACUGUUUGUCGGGAGCUUCAUGAAAUGAGUUUCCAUGGCCGAGCAGUCACACAAAAGUCAAAAAUUACCAUGCAUCGGCUGGAGUGGUGUAAAGCUCACCACAUUUAGACUCUGGAGCAGUGGAAACACGUUCUCUGGAGUGACGAUUCACUCUUCACCAUCUGGCAGUCCGACGGACAAAUCUGGGUUUGGCGGAUGC